rnacentral:rRNA from 1 species
CAUGUAGGCGGAUUGAUAAGUUUGAAGUGAAACCCUAUAGCUUAACUAUAGAACUGCUUUGAAAACUGUUAAUCUAGAAUGUGGGAGAGGUAGAUGGAAUUUCUGGUGUAGGGGUAAAAUCCGUAGAGAUCAGAAGGAAUACCGAUUGCGAAGGCGAUCUACUGGAACAUUAUUGACGCUGAGAUGCGAAAGCGUGGGGAGCAAACA